rnacentral:rRNA from 1 species
GACGAACGCUGGCGGCGUGCUUAACACAUGCAAGUCGAACGGAAAGGCCUUUUCGGAGGUACUCGAGUGGCGAACGGGUGAGUAACACGUGGGUGAUCUGCCCUGCACUCUGGGCUAAGCCUGGGAAACUGGGUCUAAUACCGGAUCGGACCGCACUCUUGUGUGAGUGGUGGAAAGUUUUUUCGGUGUAGGAUGAGCCCGCGGCCUAUCUGCUGCUUUGUGGGGUAAUGGCCUACCAAGGCGGCGUCGGGUAGGCGGACUGAGAGGUUGGUCGGCCACAUUGGGACUGAGGGACGGCGCAGACGCCUACGGGAGGCAGCAGUGGGGAAUAUUGCACAAUGGGGGCAAGCCGGAUGCAGCGACGCCGCGUGGGGGAUGACGGCCUUCGGGUUGUAAACGCCUGUCGCCAGGGACGAAGCGUUUUGUGACGGUACCUGGAGAAGAAGCACCGGCUAACUACGUG